UUAAGUUCAGCGGGUAGUCCUACCUGAUUUGAGGUCAAGAUUGUCAAUACAAGUAAGGUUUAGAAAGCAGCAUUCCAGCAGAUGUCUAGGAUGUAGAUAAUUAUCACACCUGUAGACAGUUCCACAAAGGUACCGCUAAUCAAUUUCAGGGGAGCAGACUAUACAAAAAGCCCACAACAAUUUUCCCCCCAAAUCCAAGC
rnacentral:misc_RNA from 1 species